rnacentral:rRNA from 1 species
GAUGAACGCUAGCGGGAGGCUUAACACAUGCAAGUCGAGGGGUAUUGUAGCAAUACAUUAGACCGGCGCACGGGUGAGUAACGCGUAUGCAACCUGCCGUUAACCGGGGGAUGGCCCGUCGAAAGGCGGAUUAAUACCCCAUAAUAUUGGGAUUCUGCAUGGGAUUUCAAUUAAAGCUGAGGUGGUUAACGAUGGGCAUGCGUGACAUUAGCUAGUUGGUAGGGUAACGGCCUACCAAGGCUACGAUGUCUAGGGGUUCUGAGAGGAAGGUCCCCCACACGGGUACUGAGACACGGACCAGACUCCUACGGGAGGCAUCAGUGAGGAAUAUUGGUCAAUGGACGAGAGUCUGAACCAGCCAAGUCGCGUGAAGGAAGACGGUUCUAUGAAUUGUAAACUUCUUUUGUGCAGGAAUAAAGUGGGUUACGUGUAACCUUUUGUAUGUACUGUACGAAUAAGGAUCGGCUAACUCCGUGCCAGCAGCCGCAGUAACAC